rnacentral:lncRNA from 1 species
UUUUUUUCUUUUUCUUUUUUAAAUUUUUCUCAUUCUUUGUCUCUCUUUCCUUCUGUUCUUUAGGUUGCUUUCUACAAGGGUCAUAGAUUUCACAAGUACAUUACCACCAUUCACUGAAAGCCCUACCUUUGUUAAUGAAGCUGUAGGUCUCUCAUUUAUUGAAGACUAGAACCUUGGGAUGCCUGAGUGGCUCAGUGGUUGAGCAUCUGCCUUUGGCUCAGGUCAUGGUCCUGGGAUCUUGGGAUUGAGUCACACAUCAGGCUCCCUGCAUGGAGCCUGCUUCUCCCUCUGCCUGUGUCUCUACCUCUCUCUCAGUCUCUGUGUCUCUCAUGAAUAAAUAAAUAAAAUCUUAAAAAAAAGUCUAGGACCACAGCCACCUUUCUAAAUAUGGAUAGCAAAAGCAAAGGGUGCAUUAGUCACUUAGCUGUCAAUUAUUUUUCAAAAAUCUCCCUUACAUUGAUCUCCUUUCACCACGGCUAAAACAUUUAUGUAGGCUUUUAUCAUUGCAUGCUUGACUACUGAAAUUUUCCUUUUAUUAUUUUGAAUCCUCCUUAUUUGAAAAGAAUGUUCAUACUGAUUUACAGUAUGAGACACAGGUAUAUGUCUUUGCUUAGAUGUCACAUUUCAGUAAGGACUGCCCUGACCACUACACUGCCAUCUACUUUCCCCCGAAACUACCUAACCUCCCUCAUCUUGCUCUGAUUUUUCUUUUUUUCUGAGAAUUUAUGAAAAGGCACUCUAAUCUAUAUUAGAGGAAUAUAAUGGAAUUAUAUACUAUAUAUGCUCUAUGCUGUAUAACCUCUGAUACAUGACAUAACUUCCUUUUAUAUUAUGAUUAUUGUCUGUCUCUCUUUGUUAGAAUGUAAGCUCAUAGGAGUGGGGGAUCUUUGCUUUGUAUUGUGUUUUGUUCACCUAGAAUAGAGUUUGACAUUUAAUGGGUUUUAAUACAUGUUCGUUGCAUUAAUAAGUAGAACUAUUAAAAAACAGAUAAAUGUUGUAUUGAAGUAAGAGAAACAAAUAAAUGAGGGCCGCCUGGGUCGUGCAGUAGGUUAAGUGUCCCACUCUAGGUUUCUGCUCAGGUUGUGAUCUAAGUCAUGAUCUCCAGGUCGUCAGAUCGACCCCUGUGUUGUGCUCUGAGUGGAGCCUGCUUGGAUUUCU